rnacentral:tRNA from 2 species
GAGGGGAUUGUCGAGCGGUCAAAGACGACAGGCUUAAGACCUGUUCCUUAGUGGUUCGGGAGUUCGAAUCUCCCUCCCCUCACCA